CAGAUUCUGGUUUGGGUCAAGGCAUGGAUUGGGGACUUUCCCAAAAUGCUGCAUUUGCUAUUCUAUCCCCUACUCAAAGAUCAGGAAAAUAGCACAGGAUAACAGCCCAAAUGUGGAUUUAGAGACUGUGAGAAGGCCUGGGAGAAAAAUCGCAAGUGAGAAUAUAGCCCUAUGAAUGGGAAAAGCUGGGGUUCCCUGGUCAUCAACCCAGGAGACACUUACCUCUAUGCAGGAAAGGACAUGGUCUCCAUCCACACUGCUGUUUCCACCUUGGUUUUGUACUUUAAAAAUUUAUCCUUCCAUUUUGAUGGCUUGUCCAGCUGAGAUAGCACUGUGAUUUCCAUUCUGCAACAUAAUUCUGUUUCCUUAUCUCAGUUGGAGAAUCAAACAGCAUAUUAAUAUAAUACAUUAUACUGGAUUUCACCUAGAGCAUGCAAUGAAAGCUAUUUUCCAACCUUUUCAGUCUGAACUCAAAUAAAGUUAAUUCAAUUUAAUAUGUCAUUAAUAAAAGUUGGUCUAUAGACCAAUAGUUAUUUACGGAUGGAGUCUGGGAGGAAAGUUGGAAGGAUAAUUUAAAGGUCAGUUUGAUUGAAGACAAGUUCAAGUUUAGCAAUGCAAUUUCACUGCAUUUACUGUACAUCUCUGUGAUGAAUGCAAGGCAGGAAAACCAACCUUUACAUUUUGUAUCUAUAAUUAAUGAGUGGCUUCUAGCAGGAUUGGCAAGAGGAGAGAAGAACAGUGAUUACAGGAGACCAGCUCACUGGAGUGACAUCAAACCUCUAGAAGCCAAUUUGAACAAGGCCGGGUGUCAGGUCAGUGUUACCACUUAUGCAUUCUGAAGUUUGCGAUUUUUUUUAAAGUCAUGCUAG
rnacentral:lncRNA from 1 species